AGCUAACCCAAAGGUGUGCACUUGAGUUGGCUGUCCCUGUGGGCAACAGGAGUUUAGUCCUGGUAAGGAUGCUUUAAGGAAAUAUUCUAUGUAUUUCCUUCAGAAUACAUAGGAAUUGACCCAUCAGAAUUGUCAAUCGUAGACACAGGAGAGAGGAACAACCCAACCUCUACAAACUAGGAUUAACAUUGGGGGGUGUUAAUUUUCUCUUCUUCAGGAUUUAUACCAUGAAGCAGAGAAUCCCUGAAACAAACAAGACAGACACACACUACAGCUGACAUGCAGUGCUGUCAAGAGCACCUGUACACAGCCAAUGGUUGACUCAGCAAUGGUCAGAGCCAAAAGAUCUUCUUCCAGAGACUUGAAGAUAUUAUGGAAGAACUUCACAGUGGAGAGCCCGGACUGGUACUUGGAAUAAACAGAUAUCAAAGCCUAACAGCUGAAUUUCUUCAAGCAGUGGCCCCUGGGCUUCCCUAAUAUAGGAUCCUAAUGGCUCAUCCUACUUCCUUCAAGGUACCUCUACCGGGAGAGAUAGUGACAAGUACAUCACAAAGGAGAGAGGGUUUGGUGGUGUGCAGAUGUCAGGUCUGAGACAUCCUCGGCCACGUUAUUACCAUGAGCAAAGCCAGACUGUACAUGAAGCAAAGCCAGAGAAGGUUACAGUUGGGGAUUUCUGGAUUCUGACAACCCAAGACAUUCAGAUCUAUUCAAGGUGAUUGGAUUUUCCACUUUAAUCUGUUUAAUGUGUGGGUAACCUGCGUUCUCUAGGAAGCAGAACCUGAAGCAAGGAUUAAAAUGCUGAUGCUUUCUUAACUUGGGAGGUGCAAACCCAGGGUAGUGAGAGAGAAGAAAAAUGGAAGUGAGGUAAGGAAAUAUGGGAAACUUUGUGAAGGGAUGGCUUACCAUGCUGGCUUCUGCUUCAUGGGUAGCCAAAAAGAGAGCAGUGCUCUUGG
rnacentral:lncRNA from 1 species